rnacentral:lncRNA from 1 species
GGGCUCCAUUAGCAACCUUAAUUAAUUAUACAUAUCUAUUAAUUCAUAACAUACUAUUUUAUCAUUUAUUAGGCUUUAAUGUCGUAAUAAGAAAUAGGGUGAGAGAUCCUUACUUAUUUCGGAGUCUGAAAUCGGGUUCUCACUAUGCCUACGGGCAGUCCCUAGAUUCUCUGAAUUUUUUCUCUGGAAACUGAAACACACUUCCGGUACCUGCACAUGUCCCUAAAAAAUCCCAAAUCAGACUCAGAGCCUUUUCGGCCAAUUUUAGAAUUUCGGCACGGCGGCUCUGCCGCCCGCGGUGGCGAUCCACCUCAGGUUGGCCGUUUUCGGCCAAACUUGCAUUGGUUCCUGUGAUAAAACACCCCUAGGGCCCUCGGUGGGCUAAAGAAUUACAGAAAACUGAGACUUACCAGCGACAAAGCUCUCGGGUGCGACGACUCCUCCGGCGUGAGUUGCGAUUUGGUAUUUUGCUCCGGUCAACCUGUAGAGAAAAGGACGGUGGUUACAGUGGUGUAACAAUUACAUCAAACAGGAACCGAGAAGGGCCUCAUCGGAGGCAAAAAUUGAGAAAACCUGUGGCAGCGCUGCUGGACUUUGGCGGUGUUUUUCGGCCAAUUGGCCGGUAAUU